rnacentral:rRNA from 1 species
GACGAACGCUGGCGGCGUGCCUAAUACAUGCAAGUUGAGCGCUGAAGGUUGGUACUUGUACCGACUGGAUGAGCAGCGAACGGGUGAGUAACGCGUGGGGAAUCUGCCUUUGAGCGGGGGACAACAUUUGGAAACGAAUGCUAAUACCGCAUAAAAACUUUAAACACAAGUUUUAAGUUUGAAAGAUGCAAUUGCAUCACUCAAAGAUGAUCCCGCGUUGUAUUAGCUAGUUGGUGAGGUAAAGGCUCACCAAGGCGAUGAUACAUAGCCGACCUGAGAGGGUGAUCGGCCACAUUGGGACUGAGACACGGCCCAAACUCCUACGGGAGGCAGCAGUAGGGAAUCUUCGGCAAUGGACGAAAGUCUGACCGAGCAACGCCGCGGGAGGGAAGAAGGGUGUCGGAUCGUAAAACUCUGUUGGUAGAGAAGAACGUUGGUGAGAGUGGAAAGCUCAUCAAGUGACGGUAACUACCCAGAAAGGGACGGCUAACUACGUG